UUCUAGCUCAGCGCUCCUUUCCCUCUUUCUCUCUAAAGGGGCAAGAGGAGGGAAGCGAGGGGGAGAAGGAUGUUUUUUCUCUUUGCCGAGUCCAACAUUUGGCUUUUUCCAUUUGUGGCAGAUCACUGUAACGCUAUUGUAAAACAACUUCCUGCCCCUUUUGGCUCACGUUCCAGAAGCUGCUAGGCUAAGUUCAUAGCACAAACUUUUUUCCCCCUUGCCGAAGAAGAGAGACAAAAAAAAUUCCUGCAAAUUAUUUUCCCCCUUUCUGGCUAAUGGACUCACAAAGUGAAUUUAUUGCAGCUCUUUAAGAAUGUUACACAAGAGACGUCGGUAUCCCAGCUGGAUAAUUCAUAAGCUGAAAAGGUAUCCUGGCUUGUGAGGCAGCCGUGGAGCUGCACACCCUGUGCCUGGCACGGCCAGCCUGCCCGGGCUGGAACAGCAGCAUGGACAUGGAGCCCAGCUCCGGCCUCAGGCCUGACACCGAGCGAGUUCUGCUCUCAAAAUGCACCAUAUCAGCCAAGUCGAGAAGGCACAGGGUGGCACAUGUGGCUUUCUUGGAGCUGCGUGGCCCAGCCAUAGCUCCAAUGACUCCUGCAGUGGCAAAUUUAGGGAACCUCUGUUACCCAUUUUGAUCCAGCCUCAGAUCUCCAGAAAAUGCUCAACCACCAGCAUUCUGAGGAGAAUACACAUUUCUUCUGUAAGCAAAAUUUAUGUUUUAUGGUUUUGCCUUACCAACUUUUUUUUUUUUUUUUAAUGGUGUGAAACCACAAAAUGUUUCUAAUAUUUAUUUUUAGGGAAUUAUAGUAAAAACAUACUAGAGAUUAUCAGGACACAGUUGACAAGAUAUUUAAACAGUAACUUUCCCACAAAUAUUUAUUUCGGUAAAAUGACACCUAGUAAUUCUGACCUCUUCUAAUAACUGGUCUCUAUUGCAUAUAGACUGUGGAUGCAGAUGAUGUGCAUAAAUUCUGGGUGGUUAAAAAGUAAAAGCAAGCAAAAUUUCUGGAUAACAGACUUAGCAGCAGACAGCCAUCAUAUCCAGCUAAAACUCUUAUCAUUUUUGUUUUAAAAUAAUGGCAUGACAUUCCUGAUAGUAUUUAUUUUAAGAGAACAUGCACAGAUGAAAAUGUUAACCCUGCACAGAAAAAAAGAGAUUACAUGUGAUAGUGCACUCAACGACUUUUAAUGCCAAUGAAAUAUAAAAGACAGACCUAUUUUUUAGGGGAGGAUCGGACUUAAGUAGACUAAUUGCUUAGUUCAGAGUGUUCUACUUGUAUUUAAUCAGCUUUCUGACUGACUUUCCCCUUUGUUUCUCAGACAUGAUUUUUAGCUCCUCAUUUAUUUUUAUACUUUCUAUAUAAAAUACAGAUCUUCCUGUUCUUUAUUCUCCAUACCUGCCCCUUCCUUUCCCAUUUUUUCUUAAUGUGAAAACAGCUGAAGUUCAUCCCUUCUUUUGCCUGCUCCUAAUGGGGAUAAUUCUGGUGCAUUUGGAGGGUUAAAAGUGCCUCUCCUUUACACAAUUAUGACUUGUAUUCAUCACUCAAAGCUACCCUUAGUCAAGGAGAUACAUAGAUGCAUUCUGUCUGUCACCACAGUUGUGAAGUAAGAUUGAAAGUUGUCUAACUUUAGGUUACCGCAGUACUAAAAAAUUACAGAUUCAGGAAAGAGGAAAACAAUUACCUCAAGUCCAACUUGUAAGCUUCGCUUAACAGAAAUGAAAUUCCAAAAAGAGAGGUGGAAGAAUUAUUUUAAGAUUCAUCAUGCCUGAAUAAAUUCAAAUUAUGCAAAUAGUGUUAAGCAAGUAUUUUCACACCACAGUUUAUACAAUUACAGAAUUUUAUAACUCCUUUCUUUUCCUUUAUCACAAGUUCUGUCUAUUGGAAACUCACUAUAAAUACUCCUACUGAACACUAAUUCAUUUGCUUGUAUUUUAACUCAGAGCAGCAUCUCUCGUUCUUUCCUCUCAGUUUGGUAUGAUAGAGACAUCCACACUGAGGUCACCUCUAAACAGAUCAUGAUUUUUUGCUCUCCAGAUAAUACAGCUCAUUUGCAAUACAGGGUGGUUUGUAAUCUAACAGCCUUCAGAAAUAUUUAAUAAAAGAUGAUCAGGUGCAUGGA